GACGACCGGCCGGAACCGAUGAGCUCCGGCCCACAAGUGGAGGCUCCGCUCUCCCACCUGGCCGCCCUCAGGGUGGCGGGUCACCGGUCAGGCGGUGCCCAUCGUUCCGUACGGACGAUGGAACCCGCCCGAUGUGCGCCCCGCGGUACGCCGUGGCGGUGCUCCGGUAUGACGAGGAGCCCCGCCUGUGUCCCGUCCGGGGCGUUUUUC
rnacentral:ncRNA from 1 species